UAGGGAAUCUUCGGCAAUGGACGGAAGUCUGACCGAGCAACGCCGCGUGAGUGAAGAAGGUUUCCGGAUCGUAAAGCUCUGUUGUAAGAGAAGAACGAGUGUGAGAGUGGAAAGUUCACACUGUGACGGUAUCUUACCAGAAAGGGACGGCUAACUACGUGCCAGCAGCCGCGGUAAUACGUAGGUCCCGAGCGUUGUCCGGAUUUAUUGGGCGUAAAGCGAGCGCAGGCGGUUAGAUAAGUCUGAAGUUAAAGGCUGUGGCUUAACCAUAGUACGCUUUGGAAACUGUUUAACUUGAGUGCAAGAGGGGAGAGUGGAAUUCCAUGUGUAGCGGUGAAAUGCGUAGAUAUAUGGAGGAACACCGGUGGCGAAAGCGGCUCUCUGGCUUGUAACUGACGCUGAGGCUCGAAAGCGUGGGGAGCAAACAGGAUUAGAUACCCUGGUAGUCCACGCCGUAAACGAUGAGUGCUAGGUGUUAGACCCUUUCCGGGGUUUAGUGCCGUAGCUAACGCAUUAAGCACUCCGCCUGGGGAGUACGACCGCAAGGUUGA
rnacentral:rRNA from 1 species